GAUGAACGCUGGCGGCGUGCCUAAUACAUGCAAGUCGAGCGAACGGACGAGAAGCUUGCUUUUCUGAUGUUAGCGGCGGACGGGUGAGUAACACGUGGAUAACCUACCUAUAAGACUGGGAUAACUUCGGGAAACCGGAGCUAAUACCGGAUAAUAUUUUGAACCGCAUGGUUCAAAAGUGAAAGACGGCCUUGCUGUCACUUAUAGAUGGAUCCGCGCUGCAUUAGCUAGUUGGUAAGGUAACGGCUUACCAAGGCAACGAUGCAUAGCCGACCUGAGAGGGUGAUCGGCCACACUGGAACUGAGACACGGUCCAGACUCCUACGGGAGGCAGCAGUAGGGAAUCUUCCGCAAUGGGCGAAAGCCUGACGGAGCAACGCCGCGUGAGUGAUGAAGGUCUUCGGAUCGUAAAACUCUGUUAUUAGGGAAGAACAUAUGUGUAAGUAACUGUGCACAUCUUGACGGUACCUAAUCAGAAAGCCGCGGCUAACUACGUG
rnacentral:rRNA from 1 species